CGAAGGGUCCAAGCGUUGUUCGGAAUCAUUGGGCGUAAAGCGCGCGCAGGCGGAUCAGCAAGUCAGGUGUGAAAUCUCGAGGCUCAACCUCGAAACUGCGCCUGAAACUGCUAGUCUAGAAUAUCGGAGGGGGCAGGGGAAUUUCACGUGUAGGGGUAAAAUCCGUAGAGAUGUGAAGGAACACCGGGGGCGAAGGCGCCUGCCUGGACGAUUAUUGACGCUGAGGCGCGAAAGCGUGGGGAGCAAACAGGAUU
rnacentral:rRNA from 1 species